AUAUUCAUUAAGACCUUUCAAUGGGUCCUCCCCACCGACAGCUUGGGACCAUUUUUUGACGAUGUAGUACAUCCAAAUUACUGUACCAAACUUUAAUACUGAAAAAUGAUGCAGUACAUCAAAACGCAUAUAGAACACUAUUUCAAACUUAGUCCAGAUUUCCAAUAUUCCCACAUUGCUUGCCAACAACUGCACCAUGCAUUUUACAUUGUAUCAUGUAGAUACUUGCACUACAGUAUGUAGAGGAAAAUAAGCUCACCAAAAUAAAGUUCAUGUUUUUAAGGGUAAUAACACCCAUGUCAUGUUGCUCAAAACGUGACAGACAUGUCUUCUUUCUGAGUUUGUUCCAGUCACACAGCUGUGGUUCAGAGGUCAGAAGGAUCACACAAACCCAUGAUGGACCCCAGCUUUCCUUCUCACACUAUGCAGUGAAGCAGAUGGUCCAGCUCAUAUUCUGCACAGAGCAGCCAGAUACAAUCUGCUGUUUCACGUCAUCAUGACAGUGUUUUCCAAAUGGAUGUGUGGCCCAAUCUCGACUGUAAACACAGCUCAUGCUGAGGAGAAAAAAAACUAGACUUCCUAUCACCUGCUCGGGCUCUAUUGACUGAGAGACAGCAGUAAACAAACUCAUCUGAAAUCAUCAGAGCGGCUCUCACAAACACAGACAUUCAAACAAACACAUACAGUCCAAUAUGUAUGGCAAAGAUUCAAAAGCUGAAAUGGUUUUGACGUUGAUGAAACAACGGUCAAACUUCCCCAAAACUUCCGAUCUGUUGUUGACACUUUAGUUCUUCCCAUCAAAACUUUGUUUUGUUUAAAAUCCUGAGCAAUACAUUCUGACCACCAAUAAUAAAUAAUAUAUUCCUGGA